CCUACGGGAGGCAGCAGUGAGGAAUAUUGGUCAAUGGACGGAAGUCUGAACCAGCCAUGCCGCGUGCAGGAAGACGGCUCUAUGAGUUGUAAACUGCUUUUGUACAAGGGUAAACCUGAAUACGUGUAUUCAGCUGAAAGUACUGUACGAAUAAGGAUCGGCUAACUCCGCGCCAGCAGCCGCGGUAAUACGGAGGAUCCAAGCGUUAUCCGGAUUUAUUGGGUUUAAAGGGUGCGUAGGCGGAUUGAUAAGUUAGAGGUGAAAUGUCCGAGCUUAACUCGGGAACUGCCUCUAAUACGGUGGAUCUAGAGAGUAGAUGCGGUAGGCGGAAGGUAUGGUGUAGCGGUGAAAUGCUUAGAGAGCAUACAGAACACCGAGUGCGAAGGCAGCUUACCAAUCUAUAUCUGACGUUGAGGCACGAAAGCGUGGGGAGCAAACAGGAUUAGAUACCCCUGUAGUC
rnacentral:rRNA from 1 species